rnacentral:lncRNA from 1 species
AAAUGCACAGCAGACUUCGUGUGCCCCGUAUAAAUGGAGUAUUUUAGAGUGCUAUAUACAGGGUGGAAGGAAUGCUCCGUGAAAUUAGAAUACACAUUGCCUGUUCUUGCAAUUCAAUAAUUCCAUCACAUUUUCUUUCCUUGGCCCCUGUUGCUUCAAUAAUACAAGAUUGGAUUGAAUCAAUGGCUAUUACACUUUAGCACGUUUAGCAA